rnacentral:rRNA from 1 species
AGUGAACGCUGGCGGUAGGCCUAACACAUGCAAGUCGAACGGCAGCACAGUAAGAGCUUGCUCUUACGGGUGGCGAGUGGCGGACGGGUGAGGAAUACAUCGGAAUCUACUUUUUCGUGGGGGAUAACGUAGGGAAACUUACGCUAAUACCGCAUACGACCUACGGGUGAAAGCAGGGGAUCUUCGGACCUUGCGCGAUUGAAUGAGCCGAUGUCGGAUUAGCUAGUUGGCGGGGUAAAGGCCCACCAAGGCGACGAUCCGUAGCUGGUCUGAGAGGAUGAUCAGCCACACUGGAACUGAGACACGGUCCAGACUCCCACGGGAGGCAGCAGUGGGGAAUAUUGGACAAUGGGCGCAAGCCUGAUCCAGCCAUACCGCGUGGGUGAAGAAGGCCUUCGGGUUGUAAAGCCCUUUUGUUGGGAAAGAAAAGCAGCAGGUUAAUACCCCGCUGUUCUGACGGUACCCAAAGAAUAAGCACCGGCUAACUUCGUA